GAUGAAGAACGCAGCGAAAUGCGAUAAGUAAUGCGAAUUGCAGAAUUCAGUGAGUCAUCGAAUCUUUGAACGCACAUUGCGCCCCCUGGUAUUCCGGGGGGCAUGCCUGUUCGAGCGUCAUUUCACCACUCAAGCCUCGCUUGGUAUUGGGCAACGCGGUCCGCCGCGUGCCUCAAAUCGACCGGCUGGGUCUUCUGUCCCCUAAGCGUUGUGGAAACUAUUCGCUAAAGGGUGUUCGGGAGGCUACGCCGUAAAACAACCCCAUUUCUAAGGUUGACCUCGGAUCAGGUAGGGAUACCCGCUGAACUUAAGCAUAUCAAUAAGCGGAGGA
rnacentral:misc_RNA from 1 species